UACUGAGUUUACGCUCUAUAACCCUUUGUGAACAUACCUAUAACUGUUGCUUCGGCGGGUAGGGUCUCCGCGACCCUCCCGGCCUCCCGCCUCCGGGCGGGUCGGCGCCCGCCGGAGGAUAACCAAACUCUGAUUUAACGACGUUUCUUCUGAGUGGUACAAGCAAAUAAUCAAAACUUUUAACAACGGAUCUCUUGGUUCUGGCAUCGAUGAAGAACGCAGCGAAAUGCGAUAAGUAAUGUGAAUUGCAGAAUUCAGUGAAUCAUCGAAUCUUUGAACGCACAUUGCGCCCGCCAGCAUUCUGGCGGGCAUGCCUGUUCGAGCGUCAUUUCAACCCUCAAGCUCUGCUUGGUGUUGGGGCCCUACAGCUGAUGUAGGCCCUCAAAGGUAGUGGCGGACCCUCCCGGAGCCUCCUUUGCGUAGUAACUUUACGUCUCGCACUGGGAUCCGGAGGGACUCUUGCCGUAAAACCCCCCAAUUUUCCAAAGGUUGACCUCGGAUCAGGUAGGAAUACCCGCUGAACUUAAGCAUAUCAAUAAGCGGAGGAAAAGAAACCAACAGGGAUUGCCUCAGUAACGGCGAGUGAAGCGGCAACAGCUCAAAUUUGAAAUCUGGC
rnacentral:rRNA from 1 species